AGUCGGGGUUACUAUAACCAUGGUAACUAGUGUUGUGUUGUGACAGAUGCAUCAUGGGACUGUGAGUCAUCCAGGGGUCAGGAGACGUCUCUGGACCGCAACCAGCCCUGCGCCGUCAAGAGGUGUGUGAGUGGUAAGCGUCAGUGUUCAGGUUGCAAUCAGGCGCUGGGGAAAGGAACAGCUAUGAACAUCGACACGCUGGGCCUGUACUUCCACCUAACCUGCUUUAAGUGUGGAGUGUGUAAGGUACAGCUAGGUGACACCAGUUCAGGAACAGACGUUAG